AUUGAACGCUGGCGGCAUGCUUUACACAUGCAAGUCGAACGAGUGGCGAACGGGUGAGUAAUAUAUCGGAACGUCCCGAGUAAUGGGGGAUACCUAAUCGAAAGAUUAGCUAAUACCGCAUAUUAUUACUGCGGCCGAUCUCUGAUUAGCUUGUGGGUGGGGUAAAGGCCUACCAAGACCACGAUCAGUAUGCGGUUUGAGAGGAUGAUCCGCCACAGUGGGAGUGGGACACGGCCCAGACGCCAACGGGAGGCAGCAGUGGGGAAUUUUGGACAAUGGGCGAAAGCCUGAUCCAGCCAUGCCGCGGGGCUGAAGAAGGCCUUCGUGUUGUAAAGGACGUUUUUCAGGGAAGCGGUACCUGAAGAAUAAGCACCGGCUAACUACGUGCCAGCAGCCGCGGUAAUUC
rnacentral:rRNA from 1 species